GGCGGGGUAGCUCAGUUGGUAGAGCAGUGGAAUCAUAAUCCAUGGGUCGCAGGUUCGAGUCCUGCCCUCGCUACCA
rnacentral:tRNA from 1 species